rnacentral:snRNA from 1 species
UUGGCCGGACAUGACGUUCUUGCGGA